GAUGAACGCUGGCGGCGUGCCUAAUACAUGCGAGUCGAGCGAACAGACGAGGAGCUUGCUCCUCUGACGUUAGCGGCGGACGGGUGAGUAACACGUGGAUAACCUACCUAUAAGACUGGGAUAUCUUCGGGAAACCGGAGCUAAUACCGGAUAAUAUAUUGAACCGCAUGGUUCAAUAGUGAAAGACGGUUUUGCUGUCACUUAUAGAUGGAUCCGCGCCGCAUUAGCUAGUUGGUAAGGUAACGGCUUACCAAGGCAACGAUGCGUAGCCGACCUGAGAGGGUGAUCGGCCACACUGGAACUGAGACACGGUCCAGACUCCUACGGGAGGCAGCAGUAGGGAAUCUUCCGCAAUGGGCGAAAGCCUGACGGAGCAACGCCGCGUGAGUGAUGAAGGUCUUCGGAUCGUAAAACUCUGUUAUUAGGGAAGAACAAAUGUGUAAGUAACUAUGCACGUCUUGACGGUACCUAAUCAGAAAGCCACGGCUAACUACGUG
rnacentral:rRNA from 1 species